GACGAACGCUGGCGGCGUGCUUAACACAUGCAAGUCGAACGGAAAGGCCCUGCUUUUGUGGGGUGCUCGAGUGGCGAACGGGUGAGUAACACGUGAGUAACCUGCCCUUGACUUUGGGAUAACUUCAGGAAACUGGGGCUAAUACCGGAUAGGAGCUCCUGCUGCAUGGUGGGGGUUGGAAAGUUUCGGCGGUUGGGGAUGGACUCGCGGCUUAUCAGCUUGUUGGUGGGGUAGUGGCUUACCAAGGCUUUGACGGGUAGCCGGCCUGAGAGGGUGACCGGCCACAUUGGGACUGAGAUACGGCCCAGACUCCUACGGGAGGCAGCAGGGGGGAAUAUUGCACAAUAGGCGGGAGCCUGAUGCAGCGACGCCGCGUGCGGGAUAACGGCCUUCGGGUUGUAAACCGCUGUCGCCUGUGACGAAGCGUGAGUGACGGUAAUGGGUAAAGAAGCACCGGCUAACUACGUG
rnacentral:rRNA from 1 species